CAUUGCAGGGACAGUGGGUGUUGGGUAUCUGUGUAAGGCUGUAACAUCCCCCGCUUCUCUUCUGGAAAUUGAAUAAUUAAGGGCUUAUGAGGUGGAGACAUAAUGAAGGAUGUGAUCCCCGUCUGACCUGAGAUGAAGACCAGCUGGAGAGGGGUAACAGAAGCAAUGCAGAUAAAAGCAUCAAGCUGAUGAAGGUGGCUGCUCAGCCAAGGACUGCCUUUGUGUGUAUUGACUGCUAGCAGUGACUCUGCAAUUGCUCUGAACUACAGCCAAGUCCACCAGCAGAUCUGUCUGGCAAGAUGCUGAUAAUUCUUUGCUUCAUCCCUCUGAAAAAUCAUGUCCACCAAAAAAUGAUAGUGUCUACCAGAAGCACAGCAACAGCAUGCUUUGCUUCACAGUAGGACAAACAGAGAGUGACUUCCACUUUUCACAAGGAAAGGUAGGAGGGACAUCAUUGUGGACAAGGGUUGCUUAUUUUCCAGGAAAUUAUAUACUAUCACUUUAUGAAAGAUAUGAAAGCUUGCAAGGCUU